UUCAUCUUCAUCCUCCCGAAUCAUCUGCGGAACAACUUCUUCCCAGCCAGUGAGCAUCUCUUCCUUAACCGAACUCAAAGAUUACCGCCCCAUCGUUCCAGAUUUCUUCUCACAAAUCAUCUCCCUUGCUCCACAUUCGCAUGGGAUCCCCUGUGUCCAAAAACAGAGCAAAGUCUCAGCGACCAUGGUCCACUCCAUCCUCCCACGGAUAAACCCAGCAUCCCAACCGUCUUCCUUUCCUCCCGUAUCCCAUGAACGAAACCAAUCUCCCCAGCAUCCACAUCAUCUUCCUAGAUCUUAUCCCAUUUGGAACGGAAUUCCAUCACCCGUGGAUCAAGCCAGUGAACCUUCCCAGAUUUCCCUCGUGCCCGUGUUCACCUUCCACGGCCAUGAACCAAGCCAACAGCCGCUUGUAUUCAGCCUCAUCCACGUAUUCACCCCAGAUCCUAGCUCCGAACCAGUCAGUGUUCCGGAUUGAGCUUAUCCACAACCGCAAAUCAAAGAUUCAUCCUCCUCCCCUGUUUCGGAACAGAGCCUUAGAGUGCCAGCCUAUCCACCCAACCUUGAUGAAUCCAACGACUCCCAACUUCUUCCCAUCAUUUUAGACUGAUUAUCUCCUGACUCUCCUCUUCUCCCGGAUUGACCCAGCCAACCAUGGGUGAUCUCCUGCGUCCAACGAACAGGGCCUUGUUAAGAAACAAAGCCAAAUCCUUUGCAUAAUCCACGGGAUCCCAUCCUCUUCCGGCUUGAUUCCAUGUAAUCUCCCAACGUCCACAUGAUCCUCUGCAUCCUUAUCCUUGAUUCAAAAGAGGGGAGGAGAGAGACGUGGGCAGGCUAUAAAAAGGGAGUCGAUUCAUUCCUCCUUCCCCAUCGGGGGGGCAUCCCUCUUCCCCCACCGGGGGCUGUUCCCAACUCCUCUUCGGCAAGCUCUUCGGAGGCCAAAAUCCCGCAGAAGACAGAGGAGGGAGAAGAGUUUCUGGGCAUUUUGGGAAUGAUUUCCCAAAGAAAGGAAUCGAUCUCAGGGGAAUCACAAGAGGAAGAGAAGAAAGUGACGGGAGCCCGCUGCUGUGCUGCUACUGCCGUCCUCCACUGCAUGGAAGCUUAAAUUCCUCUCUAGGGCCNNNNNNNNNNNNNNNNNNNNNNCAUGGGUUUUACAUUUUAUUUUAUA
rnacentral:lncRNA from 1 species